UGGAUCAAUGAUGACAUCUGGUGGUGUGUGAGUCAUAGAUGAUGAAAACGUGGCUUGAACUCUGAGGUCUGU